rnacentral:ncRNA from 1 species
GAGAUAGAGGCGCGAGGUCCAUCAGUAUCCUCCGGCAAAGGCCAGGCAAGCCGCCGGCGGGGAAAGGGAACAUCGCCGAAGUGCUGCGGGAUUGCCUGAUCCCGGGGUGCUGGGCCGUCAGGAAACACCUGCCGGACUGUCACAAGGUUUUGUGAAGCGCUAUCA